UACGGAGGGUGCGAGCGUUGUCCGGAAUCACUGGGCGUAAAGGGCGCGUAGGUGGCGCGGCAAGUCAACGGUGAAAGCUCGACGCUCAACGUCGAGUCGGCCGUCGAUACUGCCGCGCUGGAGCACUGUAGAGGCUCAUGGAAUUCCGGGUGUAGCGGUGGAAUGCGUAGAGAUCCGGAAGAACACCGGUGGCGAAGGCGGGUUGCUGGGCCGACACUGACGCUGAUGCGCGAAAGCCAGGGGAGCGAACGGG
rnacentral:rRNA from 1 species